AAUAGGAGCACGACAAAUUAGAAUUUUUCUUCUGAUUUUUAGAUUUUUCCUCAUAAAAAAAUUUAAAUUCAACUAAAAAUAUUAAAAAUCAAGAGAAAAAAUCUAAUUUAUCAUGCUCUUAUU
rnacentral:pre_miRNA from 1 species